GAUGAACGCUGGCGGCGCGCCUAACACAUGCAAGUCGAACGGUUAAAGCACCUUUUAGGUGUGUAUAAAGUGGCGAACGGCUGAGUAACACGUGGGCAACCUGCCCUCCUCUUGGGGAUAGCCUCGGGAAACCGAGGAUAAUACCCGAUACUUCAAUGUGGCCGCAUGACGACAUUGAGGAAGCUUUUGCGGAGAAGGAUGGGCCCGCGGCCUGUUAGCUUGUUGGUGGGGUAGAGGCCUACCAAGGCAAUGAUGGGUAGCUGGGUUGAGAGACCGACCAGCCAGAUUGGGACUGAGACACGGCCCAGACUCCUACGGGAGGCAGCAGUGGGGAAUCUUGCACAAUGGGCGAAAGCCUGAUGCAGCGACGCCGCGUGCGGGACGAAGGCCUUCGGGUUGUAAACCGCUUUCAGCAGGGACGAGGCGAUAAGUGACGGUACCUGCAGAAGAAGCCCCGGCUAACUACGUG
rnacentral:rRNA from 1 species